GGACCGUGUCGGACGUACCACUGGUUUACCGGUUGUCCCGCCAGGGGCACCGCCGGGUAUCUAAGUACGGAUCGGAUAAGUGCUGAAAGCAUCUAAGUACGAAGCCGGCCUCAAGAUUAGAUCUCCCUCAAGGGUGGUUAUAGACGAUGACCUUGAUAGGCCACAGGUGUAAGGGCGGCGACGUCCGAGCCGAGUGGUACUAAUAGCCCGGGACUUUCCUCA
rnacentral:rRNA from 1 species